rnacentral:lncRNA from 1 species
GCAAGGAAGGGCAGGGAGUCCCGUCACUUAUAGAUUUCAAGCGAGGCAGCCAACGAUCCAGAUCAGAGUGUAAAGGAAAGAAGCAACGGCUGAGAUGGAAUUCCUUCUUAGUUGUGGCCGACAAGAACGAAUCGGUGGGAAGGGUCGGUCGUUGCUGCAUAAGAACGGCAAGUUGGAAACAUGCCGUGGGAUACACGCAGUUGCCCGUGGAAGGUCGGUCGGUGCUGUAUAAGAACGGCAAGUUGGAAACACGCCGUGGGAAACACGCAGUUGCCCGCGGAUUUCUCCAGGAAAGGUGAGAGAAGGUUCCCGACGCAUCCUCUCUGGUGCGCC